AAAGUAGCUCCUUUUGACCUAGGAACAUCCUCCAAGUUUCAAAUCUCUAUCCCUAUUAGGUAAAAAGUCAGAUGGGGGGAGGGAACUUUUCUAACACCCUGUAUGCAACUUGCAAUACAAGGGUAUAACAGAAUAUGACAAAAACUUAAUUAACUUUGUCGGUACGUGGCUUGAAGUAAGGCAUAACCUUAUGGUUGUUCUGCGAUUCCCAUGUUUGUUGUACUCUUGUUCCAUGUUGACCGAACUUAUCACUCAUUUGUCGGUCUUGCGCUAUACCUUUUUCAACUCACAUGGAUGAUUGAAGUUUCGUCUCCAUAUUGUAGCCGUGCACCUGAGUUAGAGUCCCUUUGUACCCAGAGUUAAGACAACUCGAUCAUCAGCUGACUGGCAGCCGGCCUUGGCUGGCCAUGGAGGCACAAACGAGUGCACCCAAACGAACGAUAUUGAGGGAUGAAGAUAAGAAAUCCUGCGAUGUCCGUCAUCCAAAAACAACAACAUCAACAAAAUUGAUCAAUUAGUGGUCGCAUGACGAGAAUCGCAGAACGCAUCUGACUUACUUGUAUUCAACGUGACACAGAAUGAACACUGAUCAAAAGAAACAAAAUCUGAAAAUCUAGCGUUCUUCAGUAUGUUAUAUCAGCUAUCAGACUGUCCAAAGAAACCUAUAAUUUAGACGCAAAAUGGGCUAGCUAUCACCAAAA